ACGAACCACACAAACGUUAUUCGGAAUUACUGGGCUUAAAGGGUGCGUAGGCGGUGCAGAAAGUUGGGUGUGAAAUCCCUCGGCUCAACCGAGGAACUGCGCCCAAAACUACUGUGCUUGAGGAAGAUAGAGGUAAGCGGAACUUACGGUGGAGCGGUGAAAUGCGUUGAUAUCGUAAGGAACACCUGUGGCGAAAGCGGCUUACUGGGUCUUUUCUGACGCUGAUGCACGAAAGCUAGGGGAGCAAACAGGA
rnacentral:rRNA from 1 species